rnacentral:rRNA from 1 species
UACGUAGGGGGCAAGCGUUGUCCGGAAUCAUUGGGCGUAAAGAGCGCGCAGGCGGUCGUCCAAGUCGCGUGUGAAGGCCCCCGGCUCAACUGGGGAGGGUCACGCGAUACUGGUCGACUCGAAGGCAGGAGAGGGUAGUGGAAUUCCCGGUGUAGUGGUGAAAUGCGUAGAUAUCGGGAGGAACACCAAUGGCGAAGGCGGCUCACUGGCCCGGUACUGACGCUGAGGUGCGAAAGCGUGGGGAGCAAACAGGG